GAACAUAAUAUAAAUAUCAUAAAUAAAAAAUUAUGAUACAUAAAAAGAAUCUAUCAUUACAUUAAAUCCAUACCUAGACUAACUUAGCAUAAUAUUAAGCACUUUAUGCUUAACUAAUUUUUUUUUUGUGUCCAUAGUCGGUAUUACAAAUAAAUCUCCUAUAAAUAUAUGUAUUGAUCGUUCUAGAGGCUGUAAUCCACAUGCUCCAUGAUAUACAUUCUUAAUUGGUACCAUGACUGCACUUACCUGCAAAAAAGUUAAGUCAUUCAACAAGUUAAUUUUUAAUCAAUAACAAUACAAAUUGGUUCCUACCCAUUACACUUGAAUGUAAGAGAAUGAACUCUUCUUAUGAUAAAGGGUAAUAAAACCACCUUCAUUAUUGAAUGGUACCUUCCUAUCGAAUGACUUUAGAUCCCUUGAAAGUUGUUUGACUUUAUUACUGCCACUUAUGAGCAAGAACUUUCCAAUACAAAACAAAUAAAAAAAAUGAUCACGCUAAUCUAUGCAAAUCAAUAUUAAGUGGAAGCAUAGGUUAACAUAUCUCCUGUAGCUUCUUUUUUUUUUUAACAGCUCAAUAGUAUUAUUAAAUAGCUCUCAACGAAUAAUACUUGAUUCUAAUAGAAUAAAAAUUUAAACAGUUUUCUGUUACCCUGUUCUUGUUCUUCACUUAUCAUAUCAUCAUCUUUCUGUUUUAGUAACAAUUUAUCCCAAUUGAAUGACAAAUAAAGAAAAAAAAAACUUUAAUUUCACAUACCGUUUGAUGGUUCAUGGUACCUUUAGGAAUUUUGGCAGCAUCUUUAACAAGCUCCGUCCCAACACACGUCAUGCCAGAAGAUAGAAUAAAGUAAACACAUUUUCAAAAAAUUUGUAACUCCUUUCUGAAUCUGCAAUAAACCAAAAGAUAGAAUAGAAUAAAAAUAGUAACAUAUAAACUUGUAGCAGAGACAACACAUGAACAAGAGUAUGUAAAAAUUAAAUACCUCAAAGGGAGAGAAAGUCAUAACAAUUGUUUUAUUACGUGCAUUAGCAUUACUUCCUCUAGACGCUAUAGUCUUCAUUUUGGCUUUAACAUGGAAAUGGACCAUUACUGAUAAAACUCAUCCAAGAAGACAUCUAUACCUGAGAUGCCAUAUAAAUGAAGAAUUCUACACAUUACGUAAUCAUCUUUUAUGUAUGAUAUUGACCUGAGAAAACAACAUAAGAAUGUCUGAACUUGUGUAAAAUCACCUAUAACAUGUUGGUAUAUUAAUCAUUGGAANNNNNNNNNNNNNNNNNNNNNNNNNNNNNNNNNNNNNNNNNNNNNNNNNNNNUAGAGUUGAAAAGUGCCAAUUCUUUUUGGUUAUAAGGCAUCUGUGUCAAAUCUACAUCUAAAGGGGAAGUACCUAGCGUGGCCUACCACAAUUCAGUAUCAGAUUUCAAAUCCGUUUUCUAGAUCAACAAAAUAUUAUUAUACUUGGUUUCAGAAAUUGAAGUGGAAAGUAGCGUCUGACUGAUAUCACAAAAGAGAGAUUUGAACAAGAACUGAAUAUUUUACUACCAGAGAAGCAAUGAUAAUUAGAUUAGAAGAACUUAAUAAAUCUUGUUUAUGUAAUUAGCAUGAAGUUGAAAAAGCUAAUAGGACAAACAAACUUAAAGGGAGCAAGUUAAUUAAAUUGAGGGUAACUUCUGAAAAUCAAUAACAAACAUACAAUAAAAAUUCAGUCAUGUGGUGCGUCAAGAUGUUUCUAUCAUCCCCUUGCAACUGAUCCAAAGGUAUGUUGUGGCAGNNNNNNNNNUAAGAUUGUGUCAAAAAAAAAAAACAAAGAGAUAAGAUAGAGCAAUAAAAAUAAAAAGUGCAGCAGAGCACAUGUAAGCAACCAAUGGCUAGAAUUUAAGGCACACAAGAGAUAAUGAAACUAUCACACUCAAUAAAGAAGUGAUACCCUAGCAACACCAGCCAAACUCCAAAACCAUAUAAUUAAAGUAAGACAAUUAAGACUCUACAAAAGCCUCAAAUAACAGACACAGCUCACAAACAGAUUAGAAUGCCACCCAUGAAUUGGUACUUGUUAGAUAUCUACAACUCAAAGUUCUGUCCUUGAAUAAGCUUCAUAAGUAAAAGUCAAAUGUGAAAGUUUAUUAAUCCUAAUUAUACAGAAUUCUUUAGCCACUUCCAAUUAAAUUUAUUCCUCUUUUAUUGGCAUGCAUUCAAUCAAUGUACAAACUCUAGCUAUAAAUUAAGGAAUGACCAUUGAGUAAUACAUGAGAUUCUUUGAAAAAAGAUAAGGAAUGGUGAAAAUGUACAGAGAUUUUAUUGUGUAUAUAUUAUUUAUUAUGUGUAUAUGAUUUGCAUAUGUACUAGUUAGAAAAUUGAAUAAUAGCACACCAUUUGGACGAUAGCAGGCUGAAAGCAAACACAAAAUACCAAAAAACAGAUCAACUUAUAAAUUGCAGUGAAUUUACAAACAAUCACAUAAUGGAAAAAUUCAUGGAAAUGGUGAAUAGAAGUAUCCAAUAAAUACCUUACGAAAGUGAUGAAUCAAUAACUUGUGUUAUUCAAUCUACCAAAUGAUUUAACUUGUUCUUUUCUGCAUCAUUGAAUCUAACUCUGCUUUUUUUUCUUCCCAUCCUUAAUGCAGUUAUGUGUAUGAGAGUAACUGUCGGGUCAGCAAGUAUCUCAAGAAAAAACAAGCAUAAUGUUCUCAAAAAAUGUUUGUCCGCAGAAGAAAGAAGAAUUGACUACAAUGUCGGGCUUCAGUGAAGCGACCUCUCUCGGGAAAUACCUUGGAGUACCUCUUGUUGGGAGAGCACCAAAGCGGUCAGAUUAUAACUACUUGAUCAACCAAGUGAAGAUGCAGUUAUUUUAAAUAUAAGUAAACAUAAUUUAUAGUAACAUCAGCACUGGUAUUUGGAUAUAAUAGGUGAAUGAGAGGUUAUGGAAACGUGUUGGUAGUUAGUGGCUCAAUGCUAUAAUAUUUGGAUAGUUACUACUNNNNNNNNNNNNNNNNNNNNNNNNNNNNNNNNNNNNNNNNNNNNNNNNNNNNNNNNNNNNNNNNNNNNNNNNNNNNNNNNNNNNNNNNNNNNNNAGAAAGAUAAGAAAUCAUAGCAGAAGAAAAUAAGAACGAGGGAUUUGAGAGAGAAAGAUAAAGGUACCGAGUCAAUGCAGAAACGAAGAGAACGAUUGAGCAGGGCGAACAGCUUGAAGAAUCAGCGAAAGUUGCGUUCACGAUUGAGAGUCGAUAGGUUAGGAAUUACGUGAGUUGAGAGAGAUCGAGUGGAAAAGAUGAUAUUCAGAGAUGUUCAUUUGAGCUUAGGGUUUUAUUUUCUUGUUCCCCUUUUAAAUUUGAGUUUUUUUUUUUUUUU
rnacentral:lncRNA from 1 species